rnacentral:rRNA from 1 species
UACGAAGGGGGCUAGCGUUGUUCGGAAUUACUGGGCGUAAAGCGUGUGUAGGUGGUUGUCAUAGUCAGGUGUGAAAAGCCUUGAGCUCAACUCAAGAAAUGCACUUGAUACUGGGCAGCUAGAGGACCGGAGAGGAUAGUGGAAUUCCCAGUGUAGUGGUGAAAUACGUAGAGAUUGGGAAGAACACCAGUGGCGAAGGCGGCUAUCUGGACGGUUUCUGACACUAAGACACGAAAGCGUGGGGAGCAAACAGG